rnacentral:lncRNA from 1 species
AUCUACGUGAACCCGGCCUGAUUCCAGAAGUACUUGAAGUCGUUUGGCGUCACCCUUCGCCGCGGCCAAGUGGAGCUCCACAUCCCACGGAGACUCUUUCUGCAUAUGUCAAGAAAGUGGGUUGUAACUUUUCCCACUGGCAUUGUACGUUGGGAGAUUUUUAUUGAAAAUAAACAUACUUAAUGCGGCUGAUGUACGAAUGAUCUCAUAGAGCGGAGAUGAAAUCAGAAUCAGCGGCACGAGUCACGACGCAUGCCGUGCAGGCUCGUUGCCAAUUGUUGGACUCUUAUGGACUAAUCGGCAGGGUCCUCGGAGUAAUUGGAAGUACUUAGUGAAUAGAAGCUGUGACUCCUGCAGUCGGUGAAUUGUCUCUAUUGUAUUAUACGCGUGCUACAUUGUCUUUUCUGAACGUUGCACUCUUGCCCACGUGACUGCAGGGGGUUUAGUAAAAGUGAUGAGGUUUGAUUGUAUGUUCACAUAAAUGGGGACACCCGACACGUAGGUAUAGACAUGCAGCAUUGUACGAAGAGGCUUUGGCUACUGCAGGUUGACCGAGAUGCGCAGAGGCGGUUUAAAACCGGAUCCCUGAAUAUUUGUUAACAGUUCAUUAAUCACAGCGGAAGCUGGAAGGAAGACGAAAGGCUUCGAGUGAAAUUUCAUGAAGGUUGUUGUUUUUCCGUCAAGGCCGCGCACGCGGUACGCCGGUUAUUUCUAUAACGUAAUAAUAUUACAUUACGUAUACCUAUAACACAUACCGCGUGUUUUUAUCCACAUGCGUGGAUUUUAAAUCAAGGAACUGAGCGAGUUACGUAAUAAAUAUAGCAGUAGUCGUGUGAGACGUAUAAUAACAUCAAGAUUUUUAUCAUUGGUAUUACGAAAUAUUUACUUAGGUGAUUUAUUUCGGGGUCACAAAUUGAUCGGUUCGUUUAUAAGUUUGUUAUAGGACCGUAGUUAGUACGACAAAUUUAAUUUUACGGAAAUUGAAAUCCGGGAUUCACACCGGUUUCAGAUACCUCGUAACUAAAACCAACUUGUCGAGACUUUGGUCGGCUUUGUAUUUGAAAACAAAAAAUGUACACGGGCGCGUAACCGCGCGGCCAUGAAUUACGUCAUACCGGCGCGACAACGUUUCGGUGACCACAGCUAUAAUUAUUUAUGUAUACCUUGAUAAAACGUACGAUGUUCAGUUCAAGAGUACGAAAAAGUAUAACAUAGUAUGGAAUGGAGUUUUGUUACUUCUAAAUAGGUAUUUAUUUGAUUUAUGAAAGUCAUACGUGUAUUUCUUCGACUAGAUCUACCUAACACGAAUAAGGAAAAGUCGGUGCAACAAUCGGAAUAGAUUACAUUGUCUAAAUAAAAUACAUUGUCAUGUCAUAAGCAAUGUUCGAACGAUUGAAUAACCUUCGGGCGUACUGGGAAAUGUGAGGGAAAUCGAGGUGUGAAAGGCAUGUACGAAUUGAAGUGUCGAAAGUCGAGAAAUGAAAAUGCCAGCGAUAAAUUUGUACGUGUAUGUAUAUGUAUGUAUUACAGGCGAAUCUUUGAUU